UACAGAGGGGGCAAGCGUUGUUCGGAAUUACUGGGCGUAAAGGGCGCGUAGGCGGCCUGUUAAGUCGAACGUGAAAUCCCCGGGCUCAACCCGGGAACUGCGUCCGAUACUGGAAGGCUUGAAUCCGGGAGAGGGAUGUGGAAUUCCAGGUGUAGCGGUGAAAUGCGUAGAUAUCUGGAGGAACACCGGUGGCGAAGGCGACAUCCUGGACCGGUAUUGACGCUGAGGCGCGAAAGCCAGGGGAGCAAACGGG
rnacentral:rRNA from 1 species